AUAUCUUUUAGGACCUUUAUCUAAAUGUCCAAAUGAAAUCAGAAGACUGAUGAAAAAUUUACAUAAUUAUUUUGUAGUUGAAUUAUAUGGUAACUUGUGUACAAAUUUUAUCAUACACUAAUGUAAAUAUGUAUGUUAUAAAAUACAUUAUAUAAUUUCUGGCAGUAACUAGAAUCACAUUCCCAAUUUGCAUCAGUAGGU
rnacentral:misc_RNA from 1 species